CAUGUAUCACUCGGUGUACAGCGUGGAUACAUCCCCUAUCUUGUGUGAACUAUCUUCCAGCAUAAAUGAAAGAGCCACUCUACUAGAAACAAGGAAAUGACACCAAUCUUGAUAUUAUCAUCUACAUGUAAUGUCUGGCGUGAGCAGUUAUUGGUAUUUAGUCAUAUCACUCAGUGUACAACAUGGCCACAUCCCCUAUCUUGUGUGAACUAUCUUCCAGCAGAAAUGAAAGAGCCAGUCUUCCAGAAACAAGGACAUGACACCAAUCUUAAUAUUAUCAUCUACAUGGAAUGUCUGGAGUGAGUAGAUAUUGGUAUUUAGUCAUAUCACUCGGUGUACAGCAUGGAUACAUCUCUUAUCUUGUGUGAACCAUCUUCCAGCAUAAAUAAGAGAGCUAGUUUACCACUGACAAGGACAUGACACCAAUCUUGAAAUCAUUAUAUACAUGGAAUGUCUAGUGUGAGCACUUAUUGAUAUUUAGUCACGUCACUCAGUGUACAGCAUGGAUGCACACCCUUGUGUGAACUAUCUUCCAGCAUAAAUGAAAGGACCACUCUACUAGAAACAAGGACCUGACACCAAUCCUGAUGUUGUCAUCUACAUGGAAUGUCUGGCGUGAGCAGUUAUUGGUAUUUAGUCAUAUCACUCAGUGUAGAACAUGGCUACAUCCCCCAUCUUGUGUGAACCAUCUUCCAGCAUAGAUGAAAGAGCCAGUCUACCAGAAAGACAUGACACCAAUCUUGAUAUUAUCAUCUACAUGGAAUGUCUGGAGUGAGCAGUUAUCGGUAUUUAGUCACGUCACUCAGUGUACAGCAUGUCUACAUCCCCUAUCUUGUGUGAACCAUCUUCCAGUAUAAAUGAAAGAGCCAUUCUACCAGAAACAAUUACAUGACUCCAAUUUUGAUAUUAUCAUCUACAAGGAAUAUCUGAGGUGAGCAGUUAUUGGUAUUUAGUCACGUCACUCAGUAUACAGCAUGGAUGCACUCCCUUUCUUGUGUGAACCAUCUUCCAUCAUAAAUAAGAGAGCUAGUUUACCUUUCACAAGGACAUGACACCAACCUUGAAAUCAUCAUCUACACGGAAUAUCUGGGUCACGUCACUCAGUGUACAGCAUGGAUGCAUACCCUUUCUUGUGUGAACCAUCUUCCAGCAUAAAUGAAAGAGCCAUUCUACGAGAGACAAGGACCUGACACCAAUCUUGAUGUUGUAAUCUUCAUGGAAUAUCUGGCAUGAGCAGUUAUUGGUAUUUAGUCAUGUCACUCAAUGUACAGCGUGGAUACAUCCCCUAUCUUGUGUGAACUAUCUUCCAGCAUAUAUAAGAGAGCUAGUUUCCUAGAGACAAGGACAUGACACCAAUCUUCAUAUCAUCAUCUACAUGGAAUGUCUGGCAUGAGCAGUUAUUGGUAUUUAGUCACAUCACUCAGGGUACAGCGUAGAUACAUCCCCAAUCUUGUGUGAACUAUCUUCCAGCAUAAAUGAGAGAGCUAGUCCACCAGAGACAGGGACAUGACACCAAUCUUGAUAUUAUCAUCUACAUGGAAUGUCUAGCAUAUGCAGUUAUUGGUAUUUAGUCAUGUCACUCAGUGUACAUGUACAGCAUGGCUACAUCCCCUAUCUAGUGUGAACCAUCUUCUAGCAGAAAUGAAAGAGCUAGUCUACCAGAGUUAAGGAUAUGACACCAAUCUUGAAAUCAUCAUCCACACGAAAUGUCUGGAUGAGUAUUGGUAUUGGUAGUUUCAAAAGUAAAUGGUCAGAUCUGUGCAUUUCUUAUUCUUUGGAGGCUGUAUACAAAAAGACAAUGAUGUAUAUUGACUGGGUAUGCAUGUUUUCACAUAAAUAUCAGAUCAAAUUUUACAGCCGGCACUUUUUUCCCAUUUUUCUAUAGGGAACUCUUAUUUAUUGAAUUAUAAGUGGGGGAUAUUACAAAAGACGGCAACAAUUUCCAAGGACACAGAGAGGGGCAUUUAGUCCAGUAAACGGGCAUCCACAAAUUAUUUAUUAUCAAACAAAUUGAAUGAACCAAAUAUCAUUUAAAAUGUAUUCAAAACAUGUUUUAUUAUUAAAUAUGUGACUUUACCUUUGCUUGCCAUGUGUAUCGCCCUAUUUGCACAAUUUAUGACAUGUAAAAAGUUUUUAUUGACUUUAUGGUAUAGCUAGUGGACAGUUUCUACCUCCCUUUUAUACCAAAAUUUUGGCCACAUUUGAAUAACUCAGAACAACAUGCUCCAACACACAAAAAAAGUUAAUUUACCAAAAAUCAGUGAUUCAUGUAAAUAGGACAAUGUACAUGGCCAGUGAGGGUAUAUGCAUUUGCUACUCAUGAACCCAUUUUCAUGUGUUUUAUAAUAAGUUUUGUGUAGAUCCAAGGGGCAGGUCCAAGCUAUUAUCUGUAUCUAAAUUAUUUGUUCUUUCAUUAAUGGAUGCAUACAAUGUAGGGCAUAUUUACUAGAAAAAAAUAAUUUGUGCAUAAUGUUGGAAAUGUUUAGCAAGUAUUGUGAGGCUUAUAAUUAAGAUUGCCAUUUGGUAAUCGAGCCUUGGAUGGAUUUGUGGAGAACUUUUGUGUUAACUAGUCUGCAAAAGUGGAUCCAAAGGUUUUCCAGAGUUUUUGCCUUUUGUGUUUUAUCUCUGGUUUUUUACCCUGGAUCUACUUGUCGUAGAAUUUUUUUAACACAAACAUUUCUCCCUGCCAACUUCUGUGCACAAUAUUUAUAUACAUACUUAUUUUUCCAUGAAUAUUGUUAAUAUGUUCUGUCCAAUUUAGUCAAUUGUUACUCAAAGAAAGUAUAUGAUAUGAAUAUUCCCAAUUUCAAUAUUUCAAUUGCCAAAUCAUAGAUCAAAUGCACAGUGUAUAAUGUGUGUUGCUGUAAAUCUUUAACCCUGAAAAGACUUUUUUUUAAAUCUUGUGCAACGUUCGAGAUCAAAUUUACGACCCCCGGGUAUGCAGUUCCGAAAUAAUAAAACAUGUAAUUGCAUGUCAGGCAUCAAAUUCCAAAAAAAGGCAUUAUUUCAGGUACUCUACAAAUCCCAUGCAAAUUCUAUUUCUUGCCAAAAUUCAUAAAUAAAUGUGUCAUUAAUUUUUUCUGUAUGCUUAUCAAAAUCACCAUCUCAUGUGGUUUGUGAUAGGAAAAAUGUUAACAAUUUCCAUCAAAAAAUUGGGUCAUUGUAUACCUGAAAAUAUCACUUGCCCUGCGACAACGUCAGGUUUGAUUUAAGGAUCGAUUUUAAACUUUGGUCACAAUGGCAAAGGUCAUGAGGUUAUAAUUUAAAAUUUUAUGUUUUUAUUGUUGGUCUGGCAAUGGUGGAUGUAUUAAUUUCGACUGCAUGCAGUUGAGAAACUAUUUAGUUUCUCUUAAUUUGUCAUGGCCCUAAUAUUUUCUUUUUAUUAGAGAAACAAAUUCCCACUGUAUAAAAGCCUAGUGUUUGAAAGCGUUUAUUACUUCAUUGAUUACUUUAGAUUUUUUAAAUGUUUAGGAAACUAGCAAAACAAUUCUGAGAAGUGUUUCACAAGUGAAUCAAUGCAAUUUAAAAAGUCAUGCCUAAGUGUUAGUGUGCACGCAAUAUUUAAUGCACAGUCUUAUUGAUUCAUAUGCACCAGGAUGAAUACUCUCUGAGCGUGAUCCAACCAGUAUUGUGACCCAUUUUAUUUUCCACAUGCAAGUGUAAAUUCAAAAGUGAAUUGAAUCACACUCACACUUCAAUCUUUGUGAAACACCUCUUUAGUUUGUUGUGUCAGAUAGCUUGGACCUGCCUUGUAAUUUACUAUUGUCUGUAUUAUAAUUAUACUUUAUUUGUAUUCAUCCUUUUUUUUUCUUUCUUGAAUAAAAUGUAAGACCAGCAGCCGAGAAGAUUCAUUCAAGUUGGAGGACCAUGGCAGUUGACCUCAUUGAUUGCUGGGGUAGGCCCUAGACCUCACAAACAUGGCUUCCUGUCUGGUUUGAGCUGGGAUCUUCCUGCCAGAAUCACACAAUAAGUGAUGUCACUACCAACUGAUCUGUUUUUCAGUGUGCAGAGAAGGACACUAGACGCUGCUGUGCAUGGCAUACAGCUUCCAUAAUGUAAGUGCUUUAUUGAUGAUUUCAAUGAUAUCUUGUGUAGCCUAGAGUAUGUGAGACAAUGCAAUUGGUUUUCCAGCAAUUAUUAGGGUAUGCUAACGGCAAUAACUAUUAUGGAAGUAUUGGGCAGAAAUGUCUAAAUUGCACCUUUUAAAUUCAUGACAUUUUCUUUACUCUUUGGAAUGAAAUUCUUUUCAUGAAAAUCCAUCAAAACAAUACCAUUACUCCACCUGCCUCCCCUCAUGUUUCACUUUCCUGUUUGGUUUCCCCUCUAAAAUACUAGCAUUAUCUGUUUAUCCAUUAAUUGCAGUCUCUCUUUUACCUCUGUGUACUAUCUACUGUAGCUGUCACUCUAAAUCCAUCUUUUUCACACCCUCUCAACACGAUAUUCACCAUGACUGAUAUGAUAAUGUGCUAUGAAUACUUAAGCAAAUUCUUUAACAAGGCAAUUUGUAAUUUACAGAUUUCAAUUACAUUAAAAAAAAUUAAUUGCAGAACCACAUGAGAAAGUGGUAUUAAUGAUUUUACAAUACAAUUCCCUUUUCUGUACAUGUUUAUUUUUUUGAACGGACUAAUUUGAAUAAGUUUUGUUGAUCCUCUCCCCGUUCGCUAUAAAACUGAUGUUUGUGCAAGCAUAUAUUCAUCACGUUAUUACACAAUGUGUAGAGAUAAUGGACUGCUGCUUGGAAUGAUGUGAUCUGUGACCCAAUAUCGGUUCGUCUGCCCAAAAAUAUAUAUUCACUAAAAAAUCAAAAGUUAACUAUUGAGUUUUCACCCAUUGUUAUGAGGAUUGUGUACUUCAAUGGUUUUUCCACAAUGUUUAAAAAGGGGGGACAAAAUGCUAAAUCAACCAUACAAAUACAUGUUAGUCUUGAAUCUAGUUUCAGGAGCGCAAUGUCAAAUUGUCAGUUGCUUUUCAAUGAAGUAUACAGGAGUGUUGCAUUUUCAGUGUUUCGUAUUUCCCCUCAUCGAUAUUUGUUAUGGGCCUUUUGCUUGGAUGUCUAAUUUCAUAAAUGGAGCAGUGUAGCUGAGACGACUUUGUGACUCGGAGGCAUUGAUCAAUACUGAUUAAGGACUGGAUGCACUUUGAAUAUACCCUGGCCUAAUUAACCACUUGUGUCUGCACAAAGAAGGGCAGAAAGGAUACGUUGGCGAGUGCUUGAAUAGAGCAUACCUGAAUUCUGGAAAUGUGUUUCAACCGCAUGUGAAAUAUUUGUAUCUGGUGUCUGGUAAUGUUGUGAAAAUCCCCAAGUACUGACUGAAGGAAUGGAGUUUUUCCAGCUCAUACUUCACAUAUUUUCUUUUGGACAUUCAAAUGGUAAUGUUUCAUGAGUUGUCUGUGUCUUGGAUUGUUUUAAUGAUUUCUGGUGGUAUGACUAUUGACGAGAGGAUACCAUGCGCGACCAUGGGGUCUCGAAAAGCACCCUAAACACGUAUUUUCCAUAUUCUGAAAAUGCACCCCUUAACAAGACUUGGUGUGUGAAACCCUACCCUUAACAAGUAUUACAAACAAAACGAUACUCUUGGCAAGUAUUUCCUGAAUUGAACCCCUAAACAAGUACAGCGAUAUUUCAAUUGUUAUGCCACGGACGACGUCGGUCGUCGGUUUUACCUACAUCAUUGGGUUUAGUACAGCCCCACCUCACAACACCUCGCGCAAAUUGUACUCUGAACACGUAGUGUUGACUCUUGGGGCAAAAAGUACACCCUUUAUAAAACAUUUUAGUCUUAAUUUUUUAUACCCUCGCAAAUUAAGGGCCAAAUUUGCGAUACCCUUUUUUCAUUAUUUUAGAUACCCUUUUUUCAUUAUUUUAGUGUUUUUUACACCCUUAUUACGUUACGUACGUAACGUGCCCUAUCUUGAAAAAGACAUCCUUUUUACGUGUUUUUUGGUCGCGCAUGGUAUCCACUCGUCAAUGUCAGUGGCCCCCCCGGGAGACAUGAUGGUUCUCUGAUGUAUAUGGCUCAUGUCAUCUAAACUUUUGUCUUGUGGAAUUGACUUCUUUGGUAUUCUUCAGUCUUGUACGAGUGUGUUGGCCUAUUUGUUGUCUCAGAAAAAUUCUUGUUGGAUCUAGAUCUAGUUGAUCAUUUCUAGUCUCAUCCCCAACUUUGACCUCACAUUGAAACGAUCCUGUAUGACAUCUGUAUCCCUUCAUCUGAAAAUCUUUCAUGGGAACUUGCAUGUCUCUCACCUCAGGGAAGUUGGAGUUUCUUAACCAGGUCCUGGGGCUUGACUCGAGGUGGUGUUUGGCUAUUCUUUCGCCUUUUGGUAUGUGGAUAGGGCAGUGAUCUACCCGAUAGUCAGCCUUCUGAAUUCUUCAAUUUAUGUUUUUUUUCCAUUUGUUUUUCAAUCAUUGAAUCGUCCGAUACUUUUUUCUCAGAACAUUUAAUGUCAUAUCUUGUGUCAACGAGAAUUUUGAUUUAUUCACUUGGUUAGAGUGGUUGCUUUAUUUUGGAAGGCAUUUGAUGUAACUUGACAUAUCUAAUUUUGGUGAUCAAGAUGUAUUCAAAUUUACAUAAGUUCUCUACUGGGCUUAGAACACUUAUUCCAUCCAAACUGGCACUGUUCAAUGGAGAUUCCUAAACAAAUUUGUUCUAGUUACGGAUUCAUCCACUGUGAAUAAAGGAUGGUGACAUUUCCUACGAGAAGGAGCCAGAGUGGGAGGUUUCUCUGAGCGUCAACAGUAUCCUCACAUAGAUUGAAAGUGUGGCAUGGGUAUUCUAGCCUAUUUUUUACCCACUUUUUAAGUUUCUUUUUGUAGAUUGGGAGUGUAAUUUGAUGACCUCUCCUGGCAGAUUGUUCCAACUGUCAUUGUCCCUUUUGCAGAAGAAAUUGUGUCCUUACAUCCAUUCAGAACCAGUCUGGGAAAUUUUAUAGGGCGCUGUCUCUGAAAGUUGGUAUUGCUUCUCAAUUGCCCUUUUGCCAAAGAAGUGGUUUCCUACAUCCCAGUGUGAGAGGAAUUUCUGACUUUUUAUCCUGUCAUUUCUGAAAUGUGACAUUGCUUUUUAUUGACCCUUUGGCUGAAGGAAUAAUUUCCUACAUUGGAAAGAAUUUAGACAUUGUGUUAGGUGGCGUUUCUGAAAUUUGACAUUGUGCUCCACAACUAGAAUACAUGCAUUGUACUGUUAUGAUUGAUAGGCCAUUAUUAAACCAUUGUGGGAUUAUGAAGUGCACAUCCUCUGGACGAGCCUAUGUUGAGGAUUUAACCCAUUAGGUCUAGAUUCACAAGCCAUGUCUUUCCAACGGCCCCUUGCCUUAUCUCUCAGAGUUGUGUGAAAGACGUGAUGAAUACUGUAAGUACAAACAUUAGGUGUCCCCUUGACAGAAAAACAAAGAAAACAAACAUCAAAUGUUCUCCCUUUUGGUUUCUUUCUUUUCACCAAAAUGCACUGAAGUUCAUAGGAACACAAUUGCAUCAUGUACAGAAAAGUGUGUUUAUUUGUAAAAUUGUAAAUCUUCCAUUUGCUCAAUAGAAAAGAAUCCCCCCCAAAAAAAGAUUUACGAAAAUAUAUAUACAUAUAUAAUUAAAAGGAAUAUUGAAUAAAUAAAAAAUUAGUAAAACUGAGAUAAAAUAAAGAAAAUGAAAAAAAAAAUAAAAGGAUGGUGACAAUGAUUAAUCAUAAUACUCAAAUAUUCAUCUUUUUUAUAAAUAUGAUAAAAUUAUAAUUAUUUAGAACAUAUCAGUCAUGGAGAAUAAAUGUUGAAAGGAUGUGAAAUGAAGAAAGAUUGACAGGAUAUGGAGAGCAUUUCAUGAAGAGUUUUGUCUGUGAUUAUCACUUAAUUUCUCUCAGCCAAUCAGAUGCAUUGAUUUACAGUAGCUUAUAACAUCUGUGAAAAUCACUGACAUGAAUAUUCAUGAAAUGCUCCCUUUGAUGGAUAGUACAGGGAGGUAUGAAGAGAGAACACAAUAGGUGGAUUCACAGAUAAACUUGUAGAAAGAGGGGGAAUAGAGGGGAGGAGGGGGGGGGGUAAUGAGAUAGGGAGCAGAUUAAAGAAUUGUCCAAGGGUGAAUAGAGAGACUACAAAGGAAAUUAACACACUGAUUCAUUUGGAAGAAAGAAAAGGAAGGGGGAUGGGGGAAGAGGAGGGGGGUGGGGCAAAUGUAGAUGUGGGUGAAGCCCCCCCCCCCCAAGCAAACACAAAAUUACUUGGAAAAUCAAUGCAUUGUCUUUCUUACCCUUAGCUAUGCAGGGUAUCAUUGAACUUGAAAAUAAAGCACCUGCAUUAAGGAUGGGGUAUAUCAUGCAUGACAGUGUCCAGUGCCCCGCCCUGCACACUUGAAAAUUAGACUCUUGGUAGUGGCAUCAUGUAUUGUGUGAUUCUGGCAGGAAGACCCCCAGCUCGGAUCAGGCUGCUGGCCAUUUUGUGAGGUUUGGGGUUUGCUCUAUUGAAUCGAUAGGUCAGCUGCUAUGGCAACCUCCUUACUUGCAUGAAUCUUCUUGGCUGCUGGUCAUUUUUUUUAUAUUUUUUUUCUUUGAAAAAUAAAUCCAUUGAUGUUAGUGA